ensembl:ncRNA lncRNA:CR43640 long non-coding RNA:CR43640
ACCACACGAGGAUCUGCAAAACUCUUUGGAUACACGACUGUCGACCACAAAAGCUGCAUUGUGUGCUCCAACAAUGUGUCCAACUUUUGGACCAUAUUCCCGAUGGUAUCCCCCCACCUUUUCCUCUGGCUGUGUCAUAAAAAAUGUUGGCAACUUUAUCAGGAGCACAAUUUAAAUGUCAAGCUGAUGACGUGUCGUGUCUGUUUGUCUCCAGGAGGCUGAAAUUGUCGUGGUGUCUCUGGAAGUGGAUCUGGAUCUGUAUCUGAAUCUGAAAGUUGUGAUGGUUCCCUCAUAGUCAGAUGACUUCAGCUGCAGCUGGCACACAAAUCCCAGACGGCAAACGGAAGUGCAGCAGUCUAAACAAAUUCAAGUGAAACCGCAACGGAGAAAACAUGGGAUGUGCUAAUCGUCCAGAGCAUGAAACACGAUCAAAAUGAAUUGCCAAUAGGGCAUUUUAAAGUUCUGAGGGGAGUUGGAAAUGAGGGGUAUGCGGAGAAAAGGGGCCAAAGCCAACGCUCGUUAGUUGCACUGCACACCUCGUUCAAUGGGUUUAUGCAAAAGGGUCCAACGGAGUCGAGUCUCCAGGGUAACAAGAUCAUUAACGUGCCACAUGCCGCUGCUGCUGCUGACGGUCAAAAUUCAAAGACGCCACAGUAGCCACGGCGGCAACAUCAUCACCAGAUGGAGGAGAAUGGGCAGACCAUCUGCCGUUUUCAUAAAUAAAAAAAAAAAGGAAUCCCCCGUCUUCUUCGGGACUCUGGGACCUCGGCAGUUGGCAGCUGAAAUUAUGACUGGGGAAACAUUAGCAGCAGGUUGGCUCUUGGAGUCCGGGGACUCCUCUGGAGGAAAGCCGAAAAAGCGACUACGGCGGAUCCUGGCUUUUUGUUGUCCACCGCCUCGGGAGGUUAGUCACACAUGCGCGGUGAUAAUUCAACGGCAGCGGCUGCCACAGCAACAUUAAAUGGUAGCAGCCGCAAUGAAUUCACCAGGCAACAUCCACCAUCUAGCAACAUGUUGCCGGUGUAUCUUGUUAGUUGUGAGCGCAGAAAUCGUGACAAAGUGAUGCCAUUGUUAGGCGCAAAUGAAGAAAAUGCCAUUGUGGAAAAGUCGCAGCGCGAAAAACAAUUGCCUUGUUGCUGUUGCUGCCGUGAAAAUGCUUGGCGCACGUUUUGUAAUCAAUCAAUGUGCUGUUAGAAGCCACCAACCAAAAAAGCAAGACCAAAAUAUUUUCUUGCCAUGUCCUCGGGCAGCACACCGAAGAUCCAGAGUCCAACUAGUUGUCAUUUAGAUUAGAGAAGGUUCCUCACCAACACUCACUAGAUCUGGGGAAAGUAUGGCGCAUUUUGUAGAUCCGACAAGGAAAGUUUGCCAGGAAAGUGAGGAAAAUAAUAUACAGCCGCUACGGCUGUCGGGAAUCGCGGGAGAUAUAAUCGUGUGGCCAUGGAAUGUGCUAACAAGAGUCUGGGAUGAGUAGUGGUUGAUGGUAUCACAUAUAACCACACUGAAAUAUAGUGUUGACAUUCUUUAUGGUUUAUAUACGUUCAAAAUAUACGAAAUUAAUCAAAUAGAGCCCGUUGAGGUUUGCAUUAUAUGGUCAACACAUUUUCCCACACACUCCUUUCUAAUAAAUACAUAUGUACAUUUGCCAUGGGAAGUUUGCCCCAGGAGCCAUCAAAUGAAGCACUCUGUUGUCAAUGACACUCAAUUCACUUCUCCCCCAAUCUUUCCAUCAUCUGGCAGAACAUUUGCAUCUCCUUGGGAGAUUUCGGUUUACGAGCAGCUAAAAGUCACACCGAAGUCCAAACUCACCUGCCCAGAGAUAUCUAUUUAUACAAGGCUCGCACCUGCUUCUCACUUUCU